rnacentral:rRNA from 1 species
CUCAGUAACACGCGGACAAUCUGCCCUUGGGUGGGGAAUAAUCUCGGGAAACUGAGGCUAAUGCCCCAUAGGCCUGGUAUGCUGGAAAGCUUCGAGGUUCAAAGGUUACGCCCAAGGAUGAGUCUGCGGCCUAUCAGGUAGUAGUGGGUGUAAAGUACCUACUAGCCUUCGACGGGUACGGGCUUUGGGAGAAGUUGCCCGGAGAUGGAUUCUGAGACACGAAUCCAGGCCCUACGGGGCGCAGCAGUUACGAAAACUUGCCAAUGAGGGAAACCUCGAGCAGGGAACUCCAAGUGCAUGCACAUUGUGUAUGCUGUUCCAUUGCCUUAAAAGCAUAGGAAGUAAGAGCUGGGAAAGACGGGUGCCAGCCGCCGCGGUAAUACCCGCAGCUCGAGUGGUGGUCUAUUUUAUUGAGCCUAAAACGUCCGUAGCCGGACCGGUAAAUCCUUGGGGAAAUCGAGCGGCUCAACCGUUCGAAGUCCGAGGAGACUGCCGGCCUUGGGACCGGGAGAAGUCAGAGGUACUUCGGGGGUAGGGGUAAUAUCCUGUAAUCCUCGAAGGACCACCGGUGGCGAAGGCGUCUGACUAGAACGGAUCCGACGGUGAGGGACGAAGCCCUGGGGCGCAAACGGGAUUAGAUACCCCGGUAGUCCAGGGUGUAAACGCUGCAGGCUUGGUGUCGGAGACCCUACGUGGGUGUCCGGUGCCGUAGAGAAGUUGUUAAGCUUGCUGCUUGGGGAGUACGGUCGCAAGACUGAAACUAAAG